rnacentral:rRNA from 1 species
UACACGCUGUGACUAGCAUAUCAAUAAGCGGAGGAAAAGAAACUAACAAGGAUUCCCCUAGUAACGGCGAGUGAAGCGGGAAGAGCUCAAAUUUGAAAUCUUAAAGGGUUUCCCUUUACGAAUUGUAGUUUAAAGAAGUGUUUUCUGUUGAGGUUUUGGUAAAAGUUCUUUGGAAUAGGACAUCAUAGAGGGUGAGAAUCCCGUAUUUGACUUUACUUUCAACUUUGUGAUACACUUUCAAAGAGUCGGAUUGUUUGGGAAUGCAGUCCAAAAUGGGUGGUAAAUUUCAUCUAAAGCUAAAUAUUGGCGAGAGACCGAUAGCGAACAAGUACCGUGAGGGAAAGAUGAAAAUAACUUUGAAAAGAGAGUUAAACAGUACGUGAAAUUGUCAAAAGGGAAGCGUUUGACACCAGUGUUGUUUUUCUGAAAAUCAAUUAAAGAACUGUUUAUGCUAAGUUGUUUAGACUUUAUCAGCUAACUGUUUAGCUUUGAGCUUUUCUUUAAUGCACUUUUCAGUUAACAAGUCAACAUCAAUUUCUUUUGCUGUAAAAAGGCUUGAGGAAGGUGGCUUGAGAUUCGUCUUAAGUGUUUAUAGCCUCUUGCCUAUGCAGUCGGAGAGAUUGAGGUCUGCAGCGUAGAUCCUUCGGGGCUAAAUGCAUUUGUGCUAAGUUAUAGCAUUUUAUAGACAACUUGUUGACUAUGAUUUGUCUUGUAGCUUACUCGCUUAUGUUAUUUUACCUACGCUUAGGAUGUUGAUAUGCAUGACUGAUAU